rnacentral:rRNA from 1 species
UACGAAGGGAGCUAGCGUUGUUCGGAAUUACUGGGCGUAAAGGGCGCGUAGGCGGUUUAGUAAGUCAGAUGUGAAAGCCCCGGGCUUAACCUGGGAACAGCAUUUGAUACUGCUAGACUUGAGAUCGAAAGAGGAGAGUGGAAUUGCGAGUGUAGAGGUGAAAUUCGUAGAUAUUCGCAGGAACACCAGUGGCGAAGGCGACUCUCUGGUUCGAUACUGACGCUAAGGCGCGAAAGCGUGGGGAGCAAACAGG